GGGGCGUGGUCCUGCACACGCGCAGAACCACAUUCGAAGCCGCUGUCAGCCCAGAGUCAACAUGGAGAUGUUACGGAAUCGAUGCUUUGGCGCGUUCAGCGCCCCUCGGCCGUGUUGUCAGGCGGGGAACAUGGCCGCGCCCGGGCCGCGGAUCCGGUGGGGUGCGCCAUGUUGGGGGAGUGACCAUUCCGUACCGAGGAUACCACACGACGUGAACGGAGGGGAGAAGUCAGACUGGUUUACAGUCCUCUCCUGGAACAUACCACGAGCAAAGAAGGGGAAGAAAUUGGGGGUGGGCAAGCCUCCUAGGAUAUAGCACGGAGGGAAAAAGGGAAGUCAGUGUCAGAUUCCCCUGUGUUGUGCUUGUAGGGGUUGGCUGCGGGGUCUGACGCUCCCAUAGUCCACAUUAUCUCCCACUUCAGCAGCCCCAGAUGAAAUAAAAUAUGUACCAAUAAUA